AUACGUAGGUGGCAAGCGUUGUCCGGAUUUACUGGGUGUAAAGGGCGUGUAGCCGGGUCGGCAAGUCAGAUGUGAAAUCUGGAGGCUCAACCUCCAAACUGCAUUUGAAACUGUUGAUCUUGAGUAUCGGAGAGGUAAUCGGAAUUCCUAGUGUAGCGGUGAAAUGCGUAGAUAUUAGGAAGAACACCAGUGGCGAAGGCGGAUUACUGGACGACAACUGACGGUGAGGCGACGAAAGCGUGGGGAGC
rnacentral:rRNA from 1 species